rnacentral:rRNA from 1 species
GUAGGUGGCAAGCGUUGUCCGGAAUUAUUGGGCGUAAAGCGCGCGCAGGCGGUUCUUUAAGUCUGAUGUGAAAGCCCACGGCUCAACCGUGGAGGGUCAUUGGAAGCUGGAGAACUUGAGUACAGAAGAGGAAAGCGGAAUUCCACGUGUAGCGGUGAAAUGCGUAGAGAUGUGGAGGAACACCAGUGGCGAAGGCGGCUUUCCGGUCUGUAACUGACGCUGAGGCGCGAAAGCGUGGGGAGCAAACAGGGAUUAGAUACCCUGGUAGUCCACGCCGUAAACGAUGAGUGCUAAGUGUUAGGGGGUUUCCGCCCCCUUAGUGCUGCAGCUAACGCAUUAAGCACUCCGCCUGGGGAGUACGGCCGCAAGGCUG